AUACGUAGGGUGCAAGCGUUAAUCGGAAUUACUGGGCGUAAAGCGUGCGCAGGCGGUUUUGUAAGACAGAGGUGAAAUCCCCGGGCUCAACCUGGGAACCGCCUUUGUGACUGCAAGGCUAGAGUACGGCAGAGGGGGGUGGAAUUCCGCGUGUAGCAGUGAAAUGCGUAGAUAUGCGGAGGAACACCGAUGGCGAAGGGAAUCCCCUGGGCAUGUUGUGACGGUCAUGCGAGAGAGCGUGGGGAGCAAACAGGAUUAGAUACCCUGGUAGUCCGCGCCCAAAACGGUGUAAAAUGGUUGUUGGGUCUUCAUUGACUCAGUAACGAAGCUAACGCGUGAAGUUGACCGCCUGGGGAGUACGGCCGCAAGGUUGAAACUUAAAGGAAUUGACGGGG
rnacentral:rRNA from 1 species